rnacentral:rRNA from 1 species
UACAGGGGGGGUAAGCGUUGUUCGGAAUUACUGGGCGUAAAGGGCUCAUAGGCGGCCAACUAAGUCAGACGUGAAAUCCCUCAGCUUAACUGGGGAACUGCGUCUGAUACUGGAUGGCUUGGAUUCGGGAGAGGAAUGCGGAAUUCCAGGUGUAGCGGUGAAAUGCGUAGAUAUCUGGAGGAACACCGGUGGCGAAGGCGGCAUUCUGGACCGUAACUGACGCUGAGACACGAAAGCGUGGGUAGCAAACAGG